CACGCUGCUGCAGCCGUGCGGCUUGCAGUAAUUUGUCUCUUAACAAGCUCGACGCAGCUUUGUGUAGCUGCCGUACAUGUACUGGCAAGGUCCUCUUGUGGGGUCGCUGCAUCGUACUGAUGCCGGAGAAGGGUUCUCUGUAACUUCAGCUGCUUCAGGCGAAGGCUGCAUUGCGACCUAUGAGGCUUGGUUCUGUUCAUAAGAUUCGCACCAACGCUUGGCAUGGCAAGUACAGGUACAUAGCAUCUUCGGGAAAUGUGCAGGUGCACUGCGGCG
rnacentral:lncRNA from 1 species